rnacentral:rRNA from 1 species
UACGUAGGGGGCAAGCGUUAUCCGGAUUUACUGGGUGUAAAGGGAGCGUAGACGGCAUAGCAAGUCUGAAGUGAAAGCCCGUGGCUCAACCGCGGAACUGCUUUGGAAACUGUUAAGCUGGAGUACUGGAGAGGCAAGCGGAAUUCCUAGUGUAGCGGUGAAAUGCGUAGAUAUUAGGAGGAACACCAGCGGCGAAGGCGGCUUGCUGGACAGAGACUGACGUUGAGGCUCGAAAGCGUGGGGAGCAAACAGG